GGGCCUGUAGCUUAGCUAGGUAGAGCGAUCGGCUCUUAUCGGCACGCUCCAUCGGAACGUCCGGGGGACACCGAUAGGUCAAGGGUUCGAAUCCCUUCAGGCCCG
rnacentral:tRNA from 1 species